UAACUUCGAAGGAAACGUGGGGCUAACGUACCGGAUAGGAGCUCCUGCUGCAUGGUGGGGGUUGGAAAGUUUCGGCGGUUGGGGAUGGACUCGCGGCUUAUCAGCUUGUUGGUGGGGUAGUGGCUUACCAAGGCUUUGACGGGUAGCCGGCCUGAGAGGGUGACCGGCCACAUUGGGACUGAGAUACGGCCCAGACUCCUACGGGAGGCAGCAGUGGGGAAUAUUGCACAAUGGGCGGAAGCCUGAUGCAGCAACGCCGCGUGCGGGAUGACGGCCUUCGGGUUGUAAACCGCUUUCGCCUGUGACGAAGCGUGAGUGACGGUAAUGGGUAAAGAAGCACCGGCUAACUACGUG
rnacentral:rRNA from 1 species